AGUGAACGCUGGCGGUAGGCCAAACACAUGCAAGUCGAACGGCAGCACAGGAGAGCUUGCUCUCUGGGUGGCGAGUGGCGGACGGGUGAGGAAUACAUCGGAAUCUACUCUGUCGUGGGGGAUAACGUAGGGAAACUUACGCUAAUACCGCAUACGACCUACGGGUGAAAGCAGGGGAUCUUCGGACCUUGCGCGAUUGAAUGAGCCGAUGUCGGAUUAGCUAGUUGGCGGGAUAAAGGCCCACCAAGGCGACGAUCCGUAGCUGGUCUGAGAGGCUGAUACGCAACCCUGGAACUGAGAAAGGGUCCAGACCCCUAGGGGGGGCAGCAGGGGGGAAUAUUGGACAAUGGGCGCACGCCUGACCCAGCCAUACCGGGUGGGUGAAGAAGGCCUUCGGUUUGUAAAGCCCUUUUGUUGGGAAAAAAACCCAGCUGGCUAAUACCCGGUUGGGAUGACGGUACCAAAAAAAUAAGCACCGGCUAACUUCGUGCCAGCCGCCGCCGUAA
rnacentral:rRNA from 1 species